AGCGAACGCUGGCGGCGUGCUUAACACAUGCAAGUCGAACGUGAAAUGUAGCAAUACAGAGUAAAGUGGCGUACGGGUGAGUAACACGUGGGUAAUCUACCAAAGAGCCUGGAAUAACCGACCGAAAGGUUGGCUAAUACUGGAUAGUUCAAAUGAAAUAUAAUGUUUCGAUUGGGAAAGGGAGCGAGCAAUCGCCUUCACUUUUUGAUGAGCCCGCGUCUGAUUAGCUAGUUGGUAGGGUAAUGGCCUACCAAGGCGACGAUCAGUAGCUGGUCUGAGAGGAUGAUCAGCCACGCUGGAACUGAAACACGGUCCAGACUCCUACGGGAGGCAGCAGUGGGGAAUCUUGCGCAAUGGACGAAAGUCUGACGCAGCCACGCCGCGUGAGUGAAGAAGGCCUUCGGGUUGUAAAGCUCUGUCGGAAGGGACAAAAACGUUUAAGGUUAAUAGCCUUAGAUCUUGAUGGUACCUUCAAAGGAAGCACCGGCUAACUUCGUGCCAGCAGCCGCAGUAA
rnacentral:rRNA from 1 species